CAGUGGGCAAAGCUCAGCAAGGCCAGGAGCUGCAAGUGUGACCUCCCCCACUCGAAUUCUAGUUACAGUCCCCCCUACCUCCAAACACACAUGCACAGAGCUGGGUGACCCACCUCCACACACACACAACCCCAGUCGGACCCCCAUAGCCUAGCAGAGGGAGCACUAGCAUCUCACACAGGCCCUCUCUGACUCUCCACAGGGGCUACUCUCCCCCCAACCGGACAGUUGGCCCUGCUGCUGGGGCUCAUGGUGGCCACGGGAGUCCUGGACGACUGGGUUUGAUGGCUGCACGGUGUGGGGGCCGACCCAGCACCUCCGACCACCACUUUCACUGAAGUCUCACAGGAGCAUCGAUUUACUGUUGGUUUACUGAGCACCAACAGUGGCACUGGACUGAAUGCUGGAGAGACUCUGGAGGAACUAAAAGACUCUGCCUUCUCCCUCGAUAACCUUCCCAUCUAAUGGGGGCCUAGCAGGCAUAAAUUAUUUUCAGAAAGGAGGAGCGGGAAGAAGCACACAGACGGAACUGCUAAAAUCAAGAGAAUGGGAAUGCGAAUAAUAAAUCAUUGAGUGGAGCAUGUAAAA